GCCCUCAUGGCGGAACUGGUAGACGCGCUAGCUUCAGGUGCUAGUGAGCGCAAGCUCAUAGAGGUUCGAGUCCUCUUGAGGGCA
rnacentral:tRNA from 5 species